CCUACGGGAGGCAGCAGUGAGGAAUAUUGGUCAAUGGGCGGAAGCCUGAACCAGCCAAGUAGCGUGCAGGAUGACGGCCCUACGGGUUGUAAACUGCUUUUAUACGGGAAUAACGCGCCUUACGUGUAGGGCUUUGCAUGUACCGUAUGAAUAAGGACCGGCUAAUUCCGUGCCAGCAGCCGCGGUAAUACGGGAGGUCCGGGCGUUAUCCGGGUUUUUUGGGGUUAAAGGGAGCGUAGGCCGCCUGUCAAGGUUGCUGUGAAAUGUCCGGGCUGAACCCGGACCUUGCAGGGCGUACUGGAGUGCUUGAGACCGCAGAAGGCAGGCGGAAUUAGUCAUGUAGCGGUGAAAUGCUUAGAUAUGACGAAGAACCCCGAUUGCGAAGGCAGCUUGCUGCAGCGGAACUGACGCUGAUGCUCGAGAGCGCGGGUAGCGAACAGGAUUAGAUACCCCUGUAGUC
rnacentral:rRNA from 1 species